rnacentral:rRNA from 1 species
CAGCCGCCGCGGGAAUACGGAGGGUGCAAGCGUUAAUCGGAAUUACUGGGCGUAAAGCGUGCGUAGGCGGUUCGUUGAGUCUGUUGUGAAAGCCCCGGGCUCAACCUGGGAAUGGCAAUGGAUGCUGGCGAGCUAGAGUGUGUCAGAGGAUGGUGGAAUUCCCGGUGUAGCGGUGAAAUGCGUAGAGAUCGGGAGGAACAUCAGUGGCGAAGGCGGCCAUCUGGGACAACACUGACGCUGAGGCACGAAAGCGUGGGGAGCAAACAGGAUUAGAUACCCCAGUAGUCCCUGUCUCUUAUAC